AGGGUCUUCCGCUUCCUUCGGAAGACCCUACUGUUAUUCUAUUGUUUCUUAUUAGGGUCUUCCGCUUCCUUCGGAAGACCCUACUGUUAUUCUAUUGUUUCUUAUUAUUCUUUUUUUUUCCCGCUCGAUUUUUGACAGGCGAUUUCUCAAAGACCUUUGGACUGAUCGUUAUGAAAUUUUCAGGAUAGAUAGCUUGCAGUUAAACCUAUUUAAACCUGUUUUCAGUUUUUUGAUGCAUGCCUUUAUUUGUGAGUUAUUGCCCUUUAAUUGAAAAUUUUUGAUGUCUCGUUUCCACUGAAAAUCUCAAAAAUGACAUAAGAUAUUUACACGAAAGUUGGAGAACUUGUAGCCAAUACAUUGUAGAUGUGCACAACGAUAAAAUUAUAUAGCUGAUUUCUUAAAGUUUGGAAGCUAUAAAACGGCAAAUUUUAUUAAUUUUUUUUCUUUGAAUUUUUGCUACUUUUUGUGUAAUAACUUUUAAACCGAGAAUAAUUUGGUAAGAAAUAUAUUACAAAAGUUGUGGGUAAUUACGAGAGCUUUCAUAUUUGAUUAACGAAAAGGGGCUGGCCCCUAUAAUUAGGGGUUAAUAGCUCAUACACGCUUUUUUCUGAUAGCUAAAAAUAUUGGUAUAUUAUGAAAAAGUUUGACUGAAAUAAUUUCGAACUUAUAAAAUCUUGUCAUUUGAUAUAAAAAGAAAUAAACUUCCAGCUAUAUUUAAUUGUUUUUUAUAUAAAACAAGUACAUGUAUGUGAGAAACCUUUCAGGAACAAGUUGUCUACUAUAGCCAGCCAAGCCUUUACUGCAUACAUGUGCACAUUUUUAGUUGAUGCAUCUAAAAGAUAUAGUUUUGAUUCGGUGCUUCUUUGUUUAUUUUUAUUCAAAUAAUUUUAAAAUGUGAUGAUGUACACAACAAUAAUUAGUACCUAGUUUAGAGGAUUUUUUCGCGCUUGUUUGUAAACAACGCGCGGCAUUGUGGGAAAUAGGAAGGUACUAAAGACGCGAUGUACUAAACACUACUUUGACCUGAUUCAAAUUUGUCUGUAAAUGUUACAAACAAUUGAAUUUUUGUAUAGCAUAUGCCUCGAAGUCAUAAAGUCUGUACAUAAGUAAUUUAAAAUACUCAAUAUUACCAUUUAAUUAAAAAUUAAAACGUCAGGUAAAUAUCAGGUCUCUAGUAUAUCCCGUUUUUAGUGUGCCCCUUCGAGUCGACGUCGGACACAUGUUUGCCAUGGUUUACAAACUGAAAAUAGAAUGAUUUGUGAAGUUGAACAUUUUCUCACAAAGAAUCCGUUUGUAUACAUUCACACUCAUUUAAUCUGCAGCUACGAAGUACUUCGUCACUUCUCUGGAACAUUAUUCUAAGCAGAAUUAUCCCGAUUCAUAUAUUCUAAUAAUCUUGUGUGAAUUGUUUACGAGGAAAUUCUGACUGUCACAUUAACAAGGAUGAACACUCUUGACUCUGCUUCGGAUUCCCCAGUGAUAAUUGUAUCGAGUGAUGAAAGAGCUGACGGCGACAUUUUAAUGUAUGAUUGGCUUGGACCAUUGGAAUGAAGUCAUUUCAUGGUGCCACCACUUGGGAUGGUAUUAGCUGCAAAUAUAGACUUGUACUCAGCACUUAUUGCCUUUAAGAAGUAUGAGAUCCAUUUUGUGCUAACACCUACCGUGACACAGAAUCUUGGUUUAUGCAGUCUCAUAGGAGUAACCUGUCUAAAGCAUUUAGCAAUGGGAUUGGAACCUGCGACGUGUGACUCAUCUGAAGACUGAAUUUUGAUACCAAGCAUGACCAUGAUUUGCCAGAAGAUCAUCUGUUUGGAUGUGACAUGGAAUAAACAGCAUAGUGAAAAUAAGUCAAGUUUUGGUUUGUGAAGACAAUUUUUAAACACACUGUGUAUCAUUUUUAAAUUUUGAUUUGACAACAUAAAUCCACAAAUAUGAACAUAUCAAUUGCUCUCAGUUUUUCAAGUGAAAUAGUUUUUGUAACAGAAAUACAUGUACCAGUAAUUACAUUGGAAUAAAUGUUAUUUUUAAAUAUAAUAAUAUUUUGUUUGUGUAGCAUGUUGACCUCUUUAUUAA